UGCAUUUACUACUGUAAGUCGCUCUGGAUAAGAGCGUCUGCUAAAUGACUCAAA
rfam:Salmo salar isolate Sally breed double haploid chromosome ssa25, whole genome shotgun sequence.